rnacentral:tRNA from 1 species
GCGGUCGUAGCUCAGUUGGAUAGAGCGAGAGAUUCCUAAUCUCUAGGUCGUGGGUUCAAAUCCCUCCGAUCGCACCA